ACACUUUAUUACUGCACUCAAACGCCUUCGUCAAGAAAAUAACCCUCACUUUUAUUAAUUUGGAACCCUCAAGUACUCAUAACUCCUCCUUCGCUUCCGUCGUGUUACUGCGGUCGUCCGUCCGCCGAACCUUCUCGUCCUCCUCCGUCGCUUGGGUGAAGGCUGCACAAUCUUAGCGCUUCUCCGCCGAAUCUUCUCGUCCUCCUCCGUUGCACUCGCUUCUGAGCACUUCCAUCUGAACUACAAAAACUCUCAGUCACCGGACGUCAAAUCUCGCCGGAAUUAGGUCAAAGGAGAGAGAAAAACAAUGGAGUGGGUCAGAGAACAAGUCGAUGCUAUAAAAUCAAUUCAGAUCAGACAACUUCUCAAUCAAGCUGUUAGUCUUGGGGUUGCCAAAUGAUGAAAGAAUUGAGUGUGCAGAUUCAUAUAAGCAUAUGUCUGUGGUAGUAGUAUUGAAUUCUGUAGAACUUCUGGUUGAUCUCACGAGUGCAAAGAAAGAUGAUACUGGUCAAUUUGCGAGGAGGUUUGAUAUGAAUGUGUUUGGUCCUUCGUUGCAGAACUGAGUGCUUAGAUCCAAUCCUGGUAUUGAAAGAAGAUUGAGUGAACCGAACAUUGCAACAACAUUUUGGAGACGGAGUCGGAGGAAGGUUAUUGCUGAACAGCGGACUGCAAGUUCAAACAUGUUCCUUGAUUCCAGUUCCACCUUCAAGUGAUGAGGGUUUUUUGUUGUACUGAUAUUUUUGUUGAAAGUGCACUGUAAUUUGCAGUUCUUGUUUAUUAGGUUCGAAAACAGCUAAUAGUUUUAGAAUUUAGAAAAUUUAGGCUGCUUGGGGUCCUAGUUGACAUAUAUUGAGCAAGAUUAUAAUUGCUGUUUGUGAGAACCUGAGAUUCUACAAUGUGGUGAAAUUGGACUCUUCUGACACUUGA